rnacentral:misc_RNA from 1 species
CCCUUUGUACACACCGCCCGUCGCUACUACCGAUUGAAUGGUUUAGCAAGGUCCUCGGAUUGGUGCCAUUGYAGUGGCUUCGGCCGCUCGACCGGYGCUGAGAAGACGACCAAACUUGAUCAUUUAGAGGAAGUAAAAGUCGUAACAAGGUUUCCGUAGGUGAACCUGCGGAAGGAUCAUUACCUGAAAAUCUACUCUCACACAAGCGAUACACGUGUGACCGUCAUGUCAUGCGAUAAAAAUUUGCGGACGGCUAUGCCUGGCUCAUUGAGGUCACAGCAUAUCCGAACACUGAUGGGGUGCCUACCUGUAUGAUACUCCGAUGGUAUGCUUGCGUCUCUCGGGGCGCUUGUCCAAGCCAGGAGAACGGGUUGUACUGCCAUGAUUGGUAGUGCUAGGCUUAAAGAGGAGAUUUGGGCUACGGCCCUGCUCCCGCCCUAUGAACUGUUUCAUUACUACAAUUACACUGUUAAAGUGGUAAUGAAUGGCUUGCCAUUCUUUGCCAUUGCCCUCGCAUGCACCCGGUCCUUGUGGCUGGACUGCACGUACGUCGCCCGGCGGUGCCUAUCCCGGGUUGGACUGAUAACCUGGUCUUUGACCAUACGUACAACUCUGAACGGUGGAUCACUC